GGUUUUUUUUUAUUCAUUUUUUAAAUAUAAAACACUGUUCUAGGUUCCCGUGCUUUUGUAAGAAUCGCUGCGUAGUCUUUACACUCGCUUGUGAUCAUCUGUCCAAAAGCAACGGGAACAAUACGCGCUCUGGGUGAGAUUAGAAGUGGCCGGCCUUCUUAUAACUGGAGAUUUAUGUGUGUGUGCGUGUGUAAAUGUGUUAUCUUAAUCUGGUUAAUACUAACAACUUAAUCUAAUACUUAAUGGCUAUAAAUUAUUAUAAUUAUUUUACAACAUUGAUUGUACAUUUU